AGAGUUUUUAACUCUAGUGGCGACGGGUGAGUAACACGUGAGAAUUUGCCUUUAGAGGGGGAUAACAAUUGGAAACGAAUGCUAAUACCCCAUAUGCUUUUGAGUGAAAUGGAUUUUAUCCGCCUAGAGAGAAGCUCGCGGCUGAUUAGCUUGUUGGUAAGGUAAGAGCUUACCCAAGGCGACGAUCAGUAUCUGGUUUGAGAGGACGAUCAGACACACUGGAACUGAGACACGGUCCAGACUCCUACGGGAGGCAGCAGUGGGGAAUUUCCGCAAUGGGCGAAAGCCUGACGGAGCAAUACCGCGUGAGGGAAGAAUGCCUAUGGGUUGUAAACCUCUUUUUUCAGGGAGGAAUAAAAUGACGUGUACCUGAAGAAUAAGCAUCGGCUAACUCCGUG
rnacentral:rRNA from 1 species